UACGAACUGUGCAAACGUUAUUCGGAAUCACUGGGCUUAAAGGGUGCGUAGGCGGCUUAUCAAGUAGGGUGUGAAAGCCCCCGGCUUAACCGGGGAAUUGCGCCCUAAACUGACGAGCUGGAGUGGGACAGGGGUGUGUGGAACUUCCGGUGGAGCGGUGAAAUGUGUUGAUAUCGGAAGGAACGCCGGUGGCGAAAGCGACACACUGGGUCUCAACUGACGCUGAGGCACGAAAGCCAGGGAGCGAACGGG
rnacentral:rRNA from 1 species